rnacentral:lncRNA from 1 species
ACUUUAGUUUAUAAAGGUUCAUAAAACAGUAAUUUUGCGAAAUUUGCAAAUUAAAAUAUUAUGUUAAGACACAAAUUUAGAAAAAUGGCAACUCUGAAUCGACGCCAUUAACAUAUAAACAACACAAGAUAAAACAGUCUUAUUUAGUUAACCCGCAAAUUUUACAACAUAUUGGAAUGGAAAUAACAUCAAAAUGUCCAAAUUUUGCAUCAUAACAAUUUAUUUUUCAUAUAAUAAUAUACUUUAAAAAAAUAUUUUUCACAAUAUAACAAUUUAAAAAAUAUAUUGACUAUGUCAAUAGUUGGUUUUAUACAAAUACUUCCUCACAAAAAAAAAA